rnacentral:rRNA from 1 species
AACACAAUAGGUUGCUAAGCCGCGAGGUGGCGCCAAUCCAUAAAGUUGGUCUCAGUUCAGGAUUGUAGGCUGCAACCCGCCUGCAUGAAGAUGGAGUUGCUAGUAACCGCAAGGUCAGCUAUACUGCGGUGAAUACGUUCCCGGGGCUU